rnacentral:rRNA from 1 species
AUACGUAGGGGGCAAGCGUUAUCCGGAUUUACUGGGUGUAAAGGGAGCGUAGGUGGUCUGGCAAGUCAGAUGUGAAAGCCCGCGGCUCAACUGCGGGACUGCAUUUGAAACUGUCAGACUGGAGUGCAGGAGAGGAAAGUGGAAUUCCUAGUGUAGCGGUGAAAUGCGUAGAUAUUAGGAAGAACACCAGUGGCGAAGGCGCUUUUUGGGACUUAACCGGCCACUGAGCCCCGAAGGCGUGGGGAGAAAAAAGGUUAAAAUCCCCGGUUAUCCACCGCCGUAACCGAUGAAUCCUAGUGGCCGGGUGGCAAACCCUUCCGGUGCCCCAGCUACCGCAAUAGUAUUCCACCUGGGGAGUACGUUCGCAAGAAUGAAACUCAAAUGAAUUGACGGGG